rnacentral:misc_RNA from 1 species
GUUAACUGCAGGUAUUUCUGACAGGGAUCAUCUUGUGUACCGUUAUGUAUAUCAGCUAAGCUCUAGGUAACAAACCUAAUCUUGAACACUCUAUUUAUACUUCAUUUGUGAUAAUACAAUGCAAAGCAUUACAGAUACAUGAACAUCUACAAUUUCGAAUUGUAAAGAAAAAAAUCAUUAGCUUGCUUUCACUGAACAAGCUACCAUUACGAUAGGGAGCAUAAGUAAUAAAGAUGGAAACUUCCAAAAUGUCCUUCGUUGGAAAAUUUCCCUUCUCAUAUUUAUUUGUAUAAUUUCAUUAAACAAUUGCAUAGCAAAUAUACCAAGAAAAAAACAAAGUCAAAUGAGUACAAAAUAGUGGUGACUAAGAUGCAAUAGAAAAAUUUAACAAAAUAAC